GAUGUAGUUCAGGCGGCCGCUGCUUGCCUUUGCGCAAGGAGAGGAAAGUCCGGGCUCCACAGAGCAGGAUGCCGGGUAACGCCCGGUGGGAGUGAUCUCGAGGAAAGUGCCACAGAAAAUAAACCGCCCGAGUUUCGGCUCGGGCAAGGGUGAAACGGUGGGGUAAGAGCCCACCGCGCAACCGGUAACGGUUGUGGCAGGGCAAACCCCAUCCGGAGCAAGACCACGUAGAGAAACGUUUGAGAGCGGCUCGCUCGAUGUUUCAGGGUAGGUUGCUAGAGGUGUUCGGUAACGAACAUCGUAGAGGAAUGGUCGCCACGUCGCUUGCGACGCACAGAACCCGGCUUACGAACCACAACAACG
rnacentral:RNase_P_RNA from 1 species